GUUUGAUCAUGGCUCAGAUUGAACGCUGGCGGCAUGCCUAACACAUGCAAGUCGUGCGAGAAACCCCGGUUCGCCGGGGGAGUAAAGCGGCGCACGGGUGAGUAACGCGUGGGUAAUCUACCUUUGUCCGUGGGAUAACACAUCGAAAGGUGUGCUAAUACCGCAUAAUCCGGGAGGACCCUGGUCUUCUCGGCAAAGACGGCCUCUAUUUAUAAGCUGUCGGAUGGAGAUGAGCCCGCGUCCCAUUAGCUAGUUGGUGGGGUAAAGGCCUACCAAGGCGACGAUGGGUAGCUGGUCUGAGAGGACGAUCAGCCACACUGGAACUGGAACACGGUCCAGACUCCUACGGGAGGCAGCAGUGAGGAAUAUUGCGCAAUGGGGGAAACCCUGACGCAGCAAUGCCGCGUGGGUGAAGAAGGCCUUCGGGUCGUAAAGCCCUGUCUGGUGGGAAGAAUAGCGUAGAGACGAAUAAUCUCUACGUAUGACGGUACCACCGAAGGAAGCACCGGCUAACUCCGUGCCAGCAGCCGCGGUAAGACGGAGGGUGCAAGCGUUAUUCGGAUUUAUUGGGCGUAAAGGGCGUGUAGGCGGCCGAUCAAGUCAGAUGUGAAAGCCCAGGGCUCAACCCUGGAAGUGCAUUUGAAACUGGUUGGCUUGAGUUCGGGAGAGGGUAGCGGAAUUCCAGGUGUAGAGGUGAAAUUCGUAGAUAUCUGGAGGAACACCGGUGGCGAAGGCGGCUACCUGGACCGAAACUGACGCUGAGACGCGAAAGCGUGGGGGAGCAAACAGGAUUAGAUACCCUGGUAGUCCACGCUGUAACGAUGGGCACUAGGUGUGGGGGGUUUUUAAUCCCUCCGUGCCGCAGCUAACGUCUUAAGUG
rnacentral:rRNA from 1 species